CUUGAGACCAGGCGUCUGGUUGUUCCACACUCUUCCCGCUGCAGGCUAUGCACUUGGAGCCGGACUGCCUGGAGCUGAAUGGGAGUUCCUCCUUCUAAGCUGUGUGACCUCGGCGUGUGGUCCUGAGUCACCUGAAUGACAUGCUGAGGAGCGGCCCUGUCGCCCAGCGUACCUGGGAGGACCUUCGCUAAGGAGAACACCGGCCCGAGUGGCAGGUGGAGAAGCAGGAUGCUCCCGGGCACCGAGCGCCGAGACGGAUGCUUCCCGGGCAUCUUGGAUGGUGGGAUCGUGGAGUCCUCACAAGCCAGGACAAGAGGCACAUACGUCCUCACUCACGCUUGCAGAAAUCUGAGCUCCAGGGGAUUGUCUAAAGUCACGCCGUGAGAAGUGGCAGCACCCGACUGGGAGCCCUGAUCCGAGGCCCUGCUUGCAUGUCUGCAGUCUAGUCCGGGGACCGCGGAGCCCUGGAAACCUGGCUGGUCUGCACUGAGAGGUGCAGUAAGUGUAACUUACACACCCGAAUUAGCACAAAAAGAGCAAAUCCAAGUGUUGCCAUUCACAUGAGGGUAAACGUGGGGCCAGGGGCAAAGAGUGAGUCUGGAGAAAUAAAGAACACUGGGGUUGACGGAUGGAGGUCCCCCAGGGGGAGUCGGGGUGAGGGACGGAGGUCCCACCUCUGCCCGGGAGGAAGCCGGCGAGGGCCGCGACGCAGCCCGGAGGCCAGAGAGAGCUCAUCUGCAGCAUCAUAACUCGAAGGACAGGGCAUGCUUUUUGGAGAAAAGGUGAGUCAGAGGGGAAGGGGGUCCAAGGAAAAUAGCAGGAAAAAGAACCAACUCAAGACGGGCUGGGUGAGAGGGAGCUCCCCGUGGCCAGGCGGGCGCCCGGCUCUGCUGGGCAGACCGCCUCCCAGCGCUGUGCCCCUCGAAGGCGACAGGCUCUGGGGUCCACUGGGGACUGCACACCGCAGCCCGAGAAUGACCAGCGCACACACGCACAUUUAAAGCCAUACCAACUUAGAAG
rnacentral:lncRNA from 1 species